ACGAGACUAGUUUAACCAAAACAAAUGAUUUCGGCUCAUUAAAUCCCACCCCCCCCUGGGGCUCGUC
rnacentral:tRNA from 1 species